rnacentral:rRNA from 1 species
CCCCUAGUAACGGCGAGUGAAGAGGGAAAAGCUCAAAUUUUGAAUCUGGUGUCUUUGACUCCCGAGUUGUAAUCUAGAGAAGUGUUUUCCGUGUCGGACCGUGUACAAGUUCCCUGGAACGGGGCGUCAUAGAGGGUGAGAAUCCCGUAUAUGCCACGGACUACCGAUGCUCUGUGAUACACUCUCAACGAGUCGAGUUGUUUGGGAAUGCAGCUCAAAAUGGGUGGUAAAUUCCAUCUAAAGCUAAAUAUUGGCGAGAGACCGAUAGCGAACAAGUACCGUGAGGGAAAGAUGAAAAGCACUUUGGAAAGAGAGUGAAACAGUACGUGAAAUUGUUGAAAGGGAAGCGUUUGAAGUCAGUCGCAUCUGUUGGGAUUCAGCCUGGCUUCUGCCUGGUGUAUUUCCUUUCCGAUGGGUCAGCAUCAGUUUCGACCAAGGGAAAAAGACACUUGGAAUGUGGCUGUCUUCGGGCAGUGUUAUAGCCUUGUGUUGUAUGUCUUGGUUGGGACUGAGGAACGCAGCGCGCCAUUUUGGCCGGGGGUCGCUCCUCUCGACACGCGCUUAGGAUGCUGGCAUAAUGGCUUUAAGCGGCCCGUCUUGAAACACGGACCAAGGAGUCUAACAUGUGCGCGAGUGUUUGGGUGUUAAACCCGAGCGCGAAAUGAAAGUGAAAGGUCGGGAACAUUCAUUUGUGCACCGACGCCCGGAGCAGACCUUCUGUGACGCAUCCGCGGUAGAGCGUAUAUGUUGGGACCCGAAAGAUGGUGAACUAUGCCUGAAUAGGGUGAAGCCAGAGGAAACUCUGGUGGAGGCUCGUAGCGAUUCUGACGUGCAAAUCGAUCGUCAAAUUUGGGUAUAGGGGCGAAAGACUAAUCGAACCAUCUAGUAGCUGG